GGAGAGAUGGCUCAGCGGUUAAGAGCACUGGUUGUUCUUCCAGAGAAACCGGGUUCAAUUCCCAGCACCUUCA
rfam:Cricetulus griseus cell line CHO-K1, whole genome shotgun sequence.